CAUAUUGUAAAGCAAAAGAACAAAAAGAAGAUAUAUUUAUUUAUUUAUUUUGGAGAGCAAUUUCCAUAAAACUGAAAAUAUAUCAAAGCCCACAAUUUGUGGUUCACGGUUGGGUUCCGUUUAGAGGGUUGGUCCAUUUAAUUUCGAUGCCCUCAACAAAACGAUGUCGUAGUAGUCAACGUAGCGACGAGAAGGCCAUGCAAGAGAGCAAAACGAAGCUUUUUCUUCGUGUAACUGCGAUCGAGGCCGAGCGCGGCAACUGGGGAUUUUGAAAUGGUUAGUGGCGGCAUUUUCUCUCUCUAAAACUAAAGAAGCCAAACCGGUCACGCAUCCAUUGCUUUUCCUUCCAACUCUUUUUCUCUCUUCAUUCAUAGUCUCAACGCCGUUUACGUUCUGAUAAAAAAGCAUUGUUAAUAAUGGGACAGACCGAGCAAGAAAACUGCGUGCCAACCACGUGCUCUUCUUCGAAGAAACGGGCUUCAUCGGAGUCGGCGAUUCAGCCACAGCAGCUUCCCAAUCUCAAGAGACGAGUCGUGCUUGGAGAGCUCACUAACUCACUCAACAUUUCAUUGUUGGCUCAGAACUCCGAUCGGUCUCUCAAGAAACCCAACAGCGACUUGAAGAAUAAGGAGGAGGAGGAGGAGGAGGAGGGUGGAGAAUUUCUUGAUAAGACGGAGAAGAUUUCUGUUAGCUCCGUUGACCCACCGAAACGUGUUUACUCGUCUUCUAUUUACCAACAUCUUCAUGCUUUGGAGAUGGAGGUGAACAGAAGGCCAGUUCCUAACUACAUGGAGAAGGUUCAAAAUGAUGUUUCUCCUAACAUGCGAGCAAUCCUAGUAGACUGGUUGGUGGAGGUUUCAGAGGAAUAUAAGCUUGUUUCGGACACCCUUUAUCUCACUGUUUCAUAUGUUGACAGAGUCCUCUCUUCAUUUGCUAUUAGCAGGAGCAAGUUACAGCUUGUUGGUGUAUCUUGCAUGCUUAUUGCCUCAAAGUACGAAGAGAUCUGUCCUCCACACGCUGAAGAUUUUUGCUAUGUUACAGACAACACCUUCACCAAGGAUGAGGUGUUGGAUAUGGAGAGAAAUAUACUGAAAUUUUUGAAUUUUGAGAUGAGUACUCCCACGUCAAAGAACUUUCUGAGAAUCUUAAACGGAGCUGUUCAAGAGAAUUCCAAAUCUUCUGAUAUGCGUUUUGAAUUCUUGGGAUGUUAUCUUGCGGAGCUGAGUUUGUUAGAUUACAUCUGCGUGCGUUUCUUACCAUCAGUGAUUGCUGCAUCAGCAAUUUUUCUUUCCAGGUUCACUCUCCAACCGGAGGUGCAUCCUUGGACUCUUGCAUUGCAAUGCUGUUCGAGCUAUAAACCGUCUGAUUUGAAGGAUUGUGUUCUUGCUAUACAUGACCUACAAUUGAAUAGAAAAGGAAGCUCAUUCCGAUCAGUAAGAGAUAAAUACAAGCAGCAAAAGGUAUUUUAGCUGAUAUUUUGUAUUAUGUAAUGAUCUUAUUGAAUAGUUGUCUCUAGAGAAAUUGCAAUUCCUGUGAUGGCUGGAGAUUACAGUUCAAUUGUGUGGCAACACUGUCUCCACCCUUGGAAAUUCCUGCAGUCUAUUUUGAGCCCAUCAACAAAUAAGAAUCGAGAAGAUUCUGAAAGAGAUGAUUGGAAAGUAUGAGCUAGCGGUGUUUGUAAAGGUCUUGUUUUUGUCUUUGGUUCCCAGCCAACCCAUUUCAUUCUUCAACACCCUUGUCAUAAUGCUACUGUUGCUUAAUUGGAAGGAGAUACCUUAAUACAGCUAAUCUGAACGACGCCGAGGAUAACUUUUUGGUCAUUUUACUGUAUAAUGCUGAGCAUGAAUAUUUUACUGAUUCAUUGGUUCUUAUUUUUGGUACCAUCAAUGUAUGUAAAUACGAGAAUUGGAAUAAAGAGUAAUAUUUUUUUAGACA